rfam:Coprinopsis cinerea okayama7#130 chromosome 12 cont3.12, whole genome shotgun sequence.
GCCCUCUUAGCUCAGUGGUAGAGCGCACCACUCGUAUCGGGUGUUGGCCUGAAGAUCAUGGUGAGGUCGGUUGUUCAAUCCAGCCAGGGGGCA